rnacentral:rRNA from 1 species
ACAGGAGCGGCAGACGGGAGAGUAACACGUGGGAACGUGCCCUUUGGUUCGGAACAACACAGGGAAACUUGUGCUAAUACCGGAUAAGCCCUUACGGGGAAAGAUUUAUCGCCAAAGGAUCGGCCCGCGUCUGAUUAGCUAGUUGGUGGGGUAAUGGCCCACCAAGGCGACGAUCAGUAGCUGGUCUGAGAGGAUGAUCAGCCUCAUUGGGACUGAGACACGGCCCAA